rnacentral:rRNA from 1 species
GACGAACGCUGGCGGCGUGCUUAACACAUGCAAGUCGAACGGAAAGGCCCUGCUUGCAGGGUGCUCGAGUGGCGAACGGGUGAGUAACACGUGGGUGAUCUGCCCCUUACUUUGGGAUAAGCCUGGGAAACUGGGUCUAAUACUGGAUAGGACCAUGCUGUAGGUGGUGUGGUGGAAAGAUUUUUUCGGUAAGGGAUGAGCUCGCGGCCUAUCAGCUUGUUGGUGGGGUAAUGGCCUACCAAGGCGUCGACGGGUAGCCGGCCUGAGAGGGUGGACGGCCACAUUGGGACUGAGAUACGGCCCAGACUCCUACGGGAGGCAGCGGUGGGGAAUAUUGCACAAUGGGCGCAAGCCUGAUGCAGCGACGCCGCGUGGGGGAUGAUGGCCUUCGGGUUGUAAACUCCUUUCAGCCAUGACGAAGCCUCUUUUGGGGUGACGGUAGUGGCAGAAGAAGCACCGGCUAACUACGUGCCAGCAGCCGCGGUAAUACGUAGGGUGCGAGCGUUGUCCGGAAUUACUGGGCGUAAAGAGCUCGUAGGUGGUCUGUCGCGUCAUUUGUGAAAGCCCGGUGCUUAACUCCGGGUUGGCAGGUGAUACGGGCAUGACUGGAGUACUGUAGGGGAGACUGGAAUUCCUGGUGUAGCGGUGAAAUGCGCAGAUAUCAGGAGGAACACCGGUGGCGAAGGCGGGUCUCUGGGCAGUAACUGACGCUGAGGAGCGAAAGCAUGGGUAGCGAACAGG